GCAAACUUGGUCAUUUAGAGGAAGUAAAAGUCGUAACAAGGUUUCCGUAGGUGAACCUGCGGAAGGAUCAUUAAGAGUGCGGGCGCAUCCUGCCCGGUCCCACUUUGACCCCAACGUGAACACGUCCGAGUUGCUUCGGCGGGCCCGCGCCCCGCGCCCGGCUGCCCCACCGGCGGCUGGAGAGCCCGCCAGAAGACCGACCGAACCCGCGUCCUGGUGCCUGUCUGAAGCACAAAGCGAUAAGCUCAAAACUUUCAACAACGGAUCUCUUGGUUCUCGCAUCGAUGAAGAACGCAGC
rnacentral:misc_RNA from 1 species